rnacentral:tRNA from 1 species
CUGUCCUUAGUCUAGUUGGUUCAUGGCGUCCGGCUGUAAAGGAAAGUCGCUCCGGUUACCGGAAGGUCCCCAGUUCGAUUCUGGGAGGACAGA